rnacentral:rRNA from 1 species
AUGCGGAGGUUUGAAAAUGGCACAGGAGGCGGCCUAAGGGUGGCACGGCGUACAAUCCCUCUACUGUCAUUUUAUAUCUCUGAAUUUUUUUUGCUGCAUGCGCAGGUGUUUCAGGCAGAAACAGUAAUAGCAUCGACUAGGAGGAGCAAGACAAGAAGCAACGACAACUACCAUUGCUGGCUAAGCUACCUACUACGAUGCCCGCCUCUCUUUGCAAUGGCCAAAGCACACAACAAUCCACAGUUUGGUGAAUUUUCCCCCCACUUUGGUGACAUGGGACGGGUUGUGGGCAACAGCAUUUUAGAAGAAUCGGUAGUAGAAACGUGA